rnacentral:misc_RNA from 1 species
UACGAAGGGGGCUAACGUUGUUCGGAAUUACUGGGCGUAAAGCGCGCGUAGGCGGGUUCUUAAGUCAGGGGUGAAAUCCCGAGGCUCAACCUCGGAACUGCCUUUGAUACUGAGAGCCUAGAGUCCGGGAGAGGUGAGUGGAACUCCUAGUGUAGAGGUGAAAUUCGCAGAUAUUAGGAAGAACACCAGUGGCGAAGGCGGCUCACUGGCCCGGUACUGACGCUGAGGCGCGAAAGCGUGGGGAGCAAACAGG